UUCACACGUCAUACAAUGGUCGGUACAGAGGGUUGCCAACCCGCGAGGGGGAGCUAAUCCCACAAAGCCGAUCGUAGUCCGGAUCGCAGUCUGCAACUCGACUGCGUGAAGUCGGAAUCGCUAGUAAUCGUGGAUCAGCAUGUCACGGUGAAUACGUUCCCGGGUCCUU
rnacentral:rRNA from 1 species